AGAUUGAACGCUGGCGGCAUGCCUAACACAUGCAAGUCGAACGGUAACAGGUCUUCGGAUGCUGACGAGUGGCGGACGGGUGAGUAAUGCGUAGGAAUCUGUCUUUUAGUGGGGGACAACCCAGGGAAACUUGGGCUAAUACCGCAUGAGCCCUGAGGGGGAAGGCGGGGGAGUCUUCGGACCUCGCGCAGCAGGAUGAGCCGAUGUCCGAUUAGCUGGUUGGUGGGGUAAAGGCCUACCAAGGCGACGAUCGGUAGCUGGUCUGAGAGGAUGAUCAGCCACACUGGGACUGAGACACGGCCCAGACUCCUACGGGCGGCAGC
rnacentral:rRNA from 1 species